CAUAGGUUAAUGAGGCGAACCGGGGGAACUGAAACAUCUAAGUACCCCGAGGAAAAGAAAUCAACCGAGAUUCCCCCAGUAGCGGCGAGCGAACGGGGAGGAGCCCAGAGCCUGAAUCAGUGUGUGUGUUAGUGGAAGCGUCUGGAAAGGCGCGCGAUACAGGGUGACAGCCCCGUACACAAAAAUGCACAUACUGUGAGCUCGAUGAGUAGGGCGGGACACGUGGUAUCCUGUCUGAAUAUGGGGGGACCAUCCUCCAAGGCUAAAUACUCCUGACUGACCGAUAGUGAACCAGUACCGUGAGGGAAAGGCGAAAAGAACCCCGGCGAGGGGAGUGAAAAAGAACCUGAAACCGUGUACGUACAAGCAGUGGGAGCCUCUUAAUGGGGUGACUGCGUACCUUUUGUAUAAUGGGUCAGCGACUUAUAUUCUGUAGCAAGGUUAACCGAAUAGGGGAGCCGAAGGGAAACCGAGUCUUAACUGGGCGUUAAGUUGCAGGGUAUAGACCCGAAACCCGGUGAUCUAGCCAUGGGCAGGUUGAAGGUUGGGUAACACUAACUGGAGGACCGAACCGACUAAUGUUGAAAAAUUAGCGGAUGACUUGUGGCUGGGGGUGAAAGGCCAAUCAAACCGGGAGAUAGCUGGUUCUCCCCGAAAGCUAUUUAGGUAGCGCCUCGUGAAUUCAUCUCCGGGGGUAGAGCACUGUUUCGGCAAGGGGGUCAUCCCGACUUACCAACCCGAUGCAAACUGCGAAUACCGGAGAAUGUUAUCACGGGAGACACACGGCGGGUGCUAACGUCCGUCGUGAAGAGGGAAACAACCCAGACCGCCAGCUAAGGUCCCAAAGUCAUGGUUAAGUGGGAAACGAUGUGGGAAGGCCCAGACAGCCAGGAUGUUGGCUUAGAAGCAGCCAUCAUUUAAAGAAAGCGUAAUAGCUCACUGGUCGAGUCGGCCUGCGCGGAAGAUGUAACGGGGCUAAACCAUGCACCGAAGCUGCGGCAGCGACACUAUGUGUUGUUGGGUAGGGGAGCGUUCUGUAAGCCUGUGAAGGUGGCCUGUGAGGGUUGCUGGAGGUAUCAGAAGUGCGAAUGCUGACAUAAGUAACGAUAAAGCGGGUGAAAAGCCCGCUCGCCGGAAGACCAAGGGUUCCUGUCCAACGUUAAUCGGGGCAGGGUGAGUCGACCCCUAAGGCGAGGCCGAAAGGCGUAGUCGAUGGGAAACAGGUUAAUAUUCCUGUACUUGGUGUUACUGCGAAGGGGGGACGGAGAAGGCUAUGUUGGCCGGGCGACGGUUGUCCCGGUUUAAGCGUGUAGGCUGGUUUUCCAGGCAAAUCCGGAAAAUCAAGGCUGAGGCGUGAUGACGAGGCACUACGGUGCUGAAGCGACAAAUGCCCUGCUUCCAGGAAAAGCCUCUAAGCAUCAGGUAACAUCAAAUCGUACCCCAAACCGACACAGGUGGUCAGGUAGAGAAUACCAAGGCGCUUGAGAGAACUCGGGUGAAGGAACUAGGCAAAAUGGUGCCGUAACUUCGGGAGAAGGCACGCUGAUAUGUAGGUGAAGCGACUUGCUCGUGGAGCUGAAAUCAGUCGAAGAUACCAGCUGGCUGCAACUGUUUAUUAAAAACACAGCACUGUGCAAACACGAAAGUGGACGUAUACGGUGUGACGCCUGCCCGGUGCCGGAAGGUUAAUUGAUGGGGUUAGCGGUAACGCGAAGCUCUUGAUCGAAGCCCCGGUAAACGGCGGCCGUAACUAUAACGGUCCUAAGGUAGCGAAAUUCCUUGUCGGGUAAGUUCCGACCUGCACGAAUGGCGUAAUGAUGGCCAGGCUGUCUCCACCCGAGACUCAGUGAAAUUGAACUCGCUGUGAAGAUGCAGUGUACCCGCGGCAAGACGGAAAGACCCCGUGAACCUUUACUAUAGCUUGACACUGAACAUUGAGCCUUGAUGUGUAGGAUAGGUGGGAGGCUUUGAAGUGUGGACGCCAGUCUGCAUGGAGCCGACCUUGAAAUACCACCCUUUAAUGUUUGAUGUUCUAACGUGGGCCCCUUACCGGGGUUGCGGACAGUGUCUGGUGGGUAGUUUGACUGGGGCGGUCUCCUCCUAAAGAGUAACGGAGGAGCACGAAGGUUGGCUAAUCCUGGUCGGACAUCAGGAGGUUAGUGCAAUGGCAUAAGCCAGCUUGACUGCGAGCGUGACGGCGCGAGCAGGUGCGAAAGCAGGUCAUAGUGAUCCGGUGGUUCUGAAUGGAAGGGCCAUCGCUCAACGGAUAAAAGGUACUCCGGGGAUAACAGGCUGAUACCGCCCAAGAGUUCAUAUCGACGGCGGUGUUUGGCACCUCGAUGUCGGCUCAUCACAUCCUGGGGCUGAAGUAGGUCCCAAGGGUAUGGCUGUUCGCCAUUUAAAGUGGUACGCGAGCUGGGUUUAGAACGUCGUGAGACAGUUCGGUCCCUAUCUGCCGUGGGCGCUGGAGAACUGAGGGGGGCUGCUCCUAGUACGAGAGGACCGGAGUGGACGCAUCACUGGUGUUCGGGUUGUCAUGCCAAUGGCACUGCCCGGUAGCUAAAUGCGGAAGAGAUAAGUGCUGAAAGCAUCUAAGCACGAAACUUGCCCCGAGAUGAGUUCUCCCUGACUCCUUGAGAGUCCUGAAGGAACGUUGAAGACGACGACGUUGAUAGGCCGGGUGUGUAAGCGCAGCGAUGCGUUGAGCUAACCGGUACUAAUGAACCGUGAGGCUUAACCUU
rnacentral:rRNA from 1 species